CUACAUAUCCUCAGCGACUUUGGUAAGGCGAUGGGACUCUGCAUCCACCCAGCCAAAUCCACGGUCUCGCUGAUCCGUUGCGAGAGCAUCAACGUCAGCGACGUACUCCAAGGUUUUGCUGGCUCCAUCGCCCCAUUCCCCAUCAAAUAUCUUGGGUUGCCGGUCUCUACGGGCCGCCUGAGAUUGGCCCAUUUCCAGUUCAUCAUCGGCAGAAUCAAGGGAAGGCUCGCGGGAUGGAAGGGCAAGCUUCUGCUGAUGGCCGGGCGUCGCGUCCUGGUUCGAUGCGUGCGGAGUGCCAUGCCAACCUUCGCCAUCACCAUCCUGCAUGUCCCAAAGAAGAUCAUCAACGAGAUAGACAAGUGCAGGCGGCGUUUUCUCUGGCGCCAGGAUGAGGAGAUUUCGGGAGCCAGCUGCAAGGUCAACUGGCCUACGAUCUGCACCCCGACGGAGCAGGGGGGACUGGGCAUCCCUGACCUGCAAUGUUUCGGCAGGGCGCUGCGGUUGCGCUGGCUUUGGACCGCCUGGAACCACCCGGAGCGGCCGUGGGUGGGCACCGACUUGCCUUGCGACGACGCGGACAAGGCGCUGUUCGCAGCCUGCACCAGUGUGGCGAUCGGGGACGGGGCUCGGGCCUCCUUCUGGCUCUCCCCCUGGAUCGGCCACGGCUGCCUCUCGCAGCAAUUCCCAAGGUUGUUCAGCUACUCACGACGCAAGAAUAGAUCGGUCAGGGAGGCCCUCGGCGAUGACAUGUGGAUCCGCGACCUCGGGACAACCUGCACCUUCUGCCGGACGUCCUCGCCCUCCACCGCCUGCUUCAAGGAGCAGGCGCGCACCUGCAGCCAGAUGUGUCUGAUGGUCUGA
rnacentral:rRNA from 1 species